rnacentral:rRNA from 1 species
UACGGAGGGUGCAAGCGUUGUCCGGAUUUAUUGGGUUUAAAGGGUGCGUAGGCGGCGUGGAAGGUUGGGUGUGAAAUCCCUCAGCUUAACUGAGGAACAGCGCCCAAAACUACCAUGCUCGAGGGAGAUAGAGGAAUGCGGAACUUAGGGUGGAGCGGUGAAAUGCGUUGAUAUCCUAGGGAACACCGGUGGCGAAAGCGGCAUUCUGGAUCUCUUCUGACGCUGAGGCACGAAAGCUAGGGUAGCAAACGGGG